rnacentral:rRNA from 1 species
GACGAACGCUGGCGGCGUGCUUAACACAUGCCAGUCGAACGGAAAGGCCCUGCUUGCAGGGUACUCGAGUGGCGAACGGGUGAGUAACACGUGGGUGAUCUGCCCUUCACUUCGGGAUAAGCCUGGAAAACUGGGUCUAAUACCGGAUAGGAGCCAUUUUUAGUGUGAUGGUUGGAAAGUUUUUUCGGUGUAGGAUGAGCUCGCGGCCUAUCAGCUUGUUGGUGGGGUAAUGGCCUACCAAGGCGGCGACGGGUAGCCGGCCUGAGAGGGUGGACGGCCACAUUGGGACUGAGAUACGGCCCAGACUCCUACGGGAGGCAGCAGUGGGGAAGAUUGCACAAUGGGCGCAAGCCGGAUGCAGCGACGCCGCGUGGGGGAUGACGGCCUUCGGGUUGUAAACUCCGUUCGCUAGGGACGAAGCUUUUUGUGACGGUACCUAGAGAAGAAGCACCGGCUAACUACGUG